GGUUCUGGCUCAGCGGUAGAGUGGUUGCCUAACGUGCGAGGCCCUGGGUUCAAUCCUCAGCACCA
rnacentral:tRNA from 1 species